rnacentral:lncRNA from 1 species
GAGUAAUACUUCGGAGUUUCGGUGUAGUUGGUCGGAGCAGCGUAAGUAGUGUUAUAAUACUCAGGUGCCUUGGUAGUGUAGUAACUAGUCGAAGAAUAAUACUU